GGUAGGAUGGCCGAGGGUGAGGCGGUGGGUUGUAGCCCCACGAACAGAGGUUUAAGUCCUCUUCUUAUCA
rnacentral:tRNA from 1 species